rnacentral:rRNA from 1 species
UACGGGGGGUGCGAGCGUUGUCCGGAAUCACUGGGCGUAAAGGGCGCGUAGGUGGCGUGAUAAGGGUGUGGUGAAAGCCCGGGGCUCAACCCCGGGUCGGCCAUGCCGACUGUCAGGCUCGAGUGCUGUAGGGGCAGGCGGAAUUCCGGGUGUAGCGGUGGAAUGCGUAGAGAUCCGGAGGAACACCGGUGGCGAAGGCGGAUCUCUGGGCCGAUACUGACGCUGAGGAGCGAAAGCGUGGGGAGCGAACAGG